AUACGGAGGAUCCGAGCGUUAUCCGGAUUUAUUGGGUUUAAAGGGUGCGCAGGCGGGAGAUUAAGUCGGCGGUGGAAUUUUGCAGCUCAACUGUAAAAGGGCCUUCGAAAAUGGGUUUCUUGAGUGUAGAUGAAGGAGGCGGAAUUUGUGGUGUAGCGGUGAAAUGCAUAGAUAUCACGAGGAACUCCGAUUGCGCAGGCAGCUUACUAAACUACUACUGACGCUCAGGCACGAAGGCGUGGGGAUCAAACAGGAUUAGAUACCCUGGUAGUCCACGCAGUAAACGAUGAUUACUAGCUGUUUGCGAUACAAUGUAAGCGGCUGAGCGAAAGCGUUAAGUAAUCCACCUGGGGAGUACGUUCGCAAGAAUGAAACUCAAAUGAAUUGGCGGGG
rnacentral:rRNA from 1 species